rnacentral:rRNA from 1 species
CCUACGGGAGGCAGCAGUGAGGAAUAUUGGUCAAUGGACGAGAGUCUGAACCAGCCAAGUAGCGUGAAGGAUGACUGCCCUAUGGGUUGUAAACUUCUUUUAUAAAGGAAUAAAACGAGGCACGUGUGCCUUUUUUCAUGUACUUUAUGAAUAAGGAUCGGCUAAUUCCGUGCCAGCAGCCGCGGUAAUACGGAGGAUCCGAGCGUUAUCCGGAUUUAUUGGGUUUAAAGGGAGCGUAGAUGGGUUGUUAAGUCAGUUGUGAAAGUUUGCGGCUCAACCGUAAAAUUGCAAUUGAUACUGGCAGUCUUGAGUACAGUUGAGGUAGGCGGAAUUCGUGGUGUAGCGGUGAAAUGCUUAGAUAUCACGAAGAACCCCGAUUGCGAAGGCAGCUUACUAAACUGUGACUGACAUUGAUGCUCGAAAGUGUGGGUAUCAAACAGGAUUAGAUACCCCUGUAGUC